GAAUAAUAAAUCUAUUUCUGUUUUUUUAUAUAUUAUUUUAUAUUCUAGAUCCUGGUCCUGGCUGAAAUUUAGAGUAUUGCAGCUGUAGUCUGUAUACCUUACACUCAACAUGAAAAGGACUGUCAGGAUGCUGCAUAAAAUGGUCUUAGCUAGAGCCUAGAAUGUUAAUUUCUUGGGAAUAUGCUGCAAGCAACUGACGGGGAGCAGUUUUUCUUACCAAUCAUAGAAGCAGUAAGAGACAGCCAAAGAAGUACUCAAACACCUGACAUACCCAGAAAGAUCUAGAAGAAAAGAUUGGAACAGAUUGUAGCUUUAUUGUUAAAACUAUUAAAGUGAAUUUAAGCUGCACUUGAACUGUAUUUUUUAAAUAAAAUAUCUGAAGUAUUUAAUAUUGUCUUGAUAUUUUGUUAAACUUGGUUACUUUGCUUUAUAUCCAAAAAUUAAAGUAUGGUGGGUUUUCAACGUUGAAAUGACAUUGAAACUUCAACGUUGUACCAACGUUGAAGCUGCAACGUUGUAUCACCGUUGAAAUUUCAACGUUGUUUCAACUUUCAAAUCCGAAUAUAAAUCCAACCUUAUUUCAACGUUGAAAUAUGACCAUAAUUCAACGUUGAAACAACGUUGA